rnacentral:rRNA from 1 species
AAGGGAGCGUAGGCGGCUGAUUAAGUCAGCGGUGAAAGGUAGCAGCUUAACUGUUUUACAUGCCGUUGAUACUGGUUAGCUUGAGUUGACAGAAGGCAGAUAGAAUUCCUGGUGUAGCGGUGAAAUGCUUAGAUACCAGGAGGAAUACCGAUUGCGAAGGCAGUCUGCUGCAGUCACACUGACGCUGAGGCUCGAAGGUGCGGGGAUCAAACAGGAUUAGAGACCCCUGU